AACAGAGAGAAUCAACAUUAAGCCCCAUUGGACUGGAUUCUGAAGAUGCUUGAGGACUUCCUGCCUUAGUCAGAUUUGGUUUGGAACUGGGGCAGGGCCAGGCCUGCAGGUGGAAGCAACAUCAGCCCCAGCUGUGGGUCCUUCUGACCUCUUUUUCUCUCUACCAGAGAACUGGCUAUUUUUACCUGUCAACUGAGAAGGAUGGAUAGAGAAAAGCAUCAUUACAAAAGUGAAAUGUGUGAAUUUUAUUCUGGCUUUGAACAUUGAGUAGACGAAGAAGACAAUUCCAGACGGAGGAAACUCCACAAGAAAUAUCAUGGAAAUUUGAAAGAACACAGUGGGCUUGGGAAGAGGUGCUUCCAAGACCAAGAUAACCAGGCAAUCAUAGUAGAUGCAUCAAUGCACCCUUGCCCAAGGGCCUAGACAAGAGGUAUUGUUUAGCUUCGCAUGAAUUUUAUCACCUUGCCUAGAACCAGCCACCAUCUGCCAGGGCUCCUGACUUUUUCUGAAAUGAAUAGACACUAAAGCCUGCUGGGGAAUUUCAUGGAAAUCAAGAUGACUCAACCCAGAGUCCAUUUCAAGGCUAGGAUGCUAGAGGACGCCAACAAAGGAGUAGGGAAGUGAAACGGAUCAGCUCACAUCCAAGCCCUUGCAUGAUCAAUCCUGCAGUAGGAGUGCUGCUCAGUUGGGACUCAUGAGAGCCCGGAAGAGGAAAAAGCAGCUCUAAGCAUAGCAAAGAAGCUGUUAUGGAAAAGACCCAAAUGUUAAAAUGGUGGACAUAGUAAAGUGAUUGGUUCUGCUUAGGGGAAUCUAGAUCCCCACAUUUUGACCUCCACUGGAGUCUCAGAAGAACAAGUGCCAGGGGGGCUUGCCACAGAGGCCAAGGCAGUGAAUGUCAGGCACAUCACAGUCCCCAAGAUGGGGAGAAGACUGAGAUGCAGGGUAACAACUGCAAUCCAUUCAUGGGAGCCAUGUUUAUCUUAAAUCAUUGACAGUGAGAUAAGGAUCAUGUCAGCCUUCAUACCUUUGAUGAUGAUCCCAGGCUGCAACAGUGACACAUAGAACUGGAUUCAGUAACUAACUACAGAUUCCAUCAACCAGGACUAGUAAAGUGAAAGGCAGAAAUUGGGAGGAGGGGUUUCUUUCUUGCUUAUAAAACUUUAUUUGGUUGUGUUGAGUAUGUGCAUGUAUGUAUGAAAUCCCAUAAAGCAGUCUUCUUAGGAACAAGCCAACAUGCCACAAUGUAGGAGAUCUUUGGAGCACUGGCCUAAAUGGCAGAGAGCUCAAGGGACUCUGCUUUGUACAAGGCAUGAUUUGUACCACCACCACUAUCCCUGUUUCAGAGCACUGUUGAAUUGUUCCAAACCUGGAUUUCUAUGUCAGCUCCCUGUCUAUAGUACUUGACUGAUAAAUGCUAGUUUCUGAAAUCUGCUUUGGUUCUAUAAUUUAUUAGACAGCUUUUUCUUCCCAUUUUAUUACUUGUUUUUACUGUCAUUGGUAUAUUAUCUCUUACAGUGAAAACAUUCAUAGGCUGAUUGAAGAGAAGAUCUGAAAUUAUUAGGCAGCAAGCAUACAAAACCCUUGCUUUAUAAAGAUAAUAUCUUAAAGGCCUAAUGUCUAUGGUUCAAAGCAGCCUGGAGAUGUUGGCUAAAUCUUCCAUCAUAGAGUCCUCAUGGGAUCUGGAAGCUCUGAUUUAUCUUCCUUCAGGCCCUAUAAGUUAGCUUUCCACAUCUGUAGGUUCCACAAUCAACCUUGGAUCAAAAACAUUUGAAA
rnacentral:lncRNA from 1 species